UGCGGUAAAAAUGUAUUCCUACCCAGUUUAAUUACAAUAAAUUUUGCAAGUUAUGCAGGGCUAAUGUAUCGUUAGAUACCGUUGCUAAUUUAACCAUCAGCUACCUUAGAUGAUUAAACAUGCACUGAUUAAGUAUUGUGUCAAUUAAUUACAAUUUCAAUCUAUUUAAAUCAUUAAUUCAUUAGUUACCUUACAAUUGUAAUGCAAGAAUAACUUAGUCACGAUUUUACUUAAUCAAACAUCUUACCAUGGCCUAUAACAACACAAACACAAUUUAAUAAAUUAAGUGGCCAAAAUGCAAUCAACCUAACACGAUUAUUCAUAGAUAUGUUCAUAACAAAAAUAAUAAAAUUAAAAGGAUAAGGAACGAGAAUCAAAUUCGGUGUUUCUCUGAGGCUUGACUAGUUUGCUUUACUCUUCCUUCUCUGCUUGUUCUUGUUGAAAUGAGACUUCCAUGAACACUUGAAUGCUACUCCAAAUGAUGGAUGAAGGACUAUUUUUUAGAGGUGAAAUCGACAAGGGAAUGGGAAGAAA
rnacentral:lncRNA from 1 species